GUAUGUCUAUGUCUUUUCAUUCAAAACUGUAAAUAAAGAAUUUAUUUGAGUGUAUAAUAAGAACGUUAACAUUUCGAAAAAAUUGUGCCGGUAACGUUAACCAUUCAGAAAUGACGGGUCCACAGACAAUUGUACUUUAUGGCUUGAUUGGAGUUCUGAUAAUCGUUAUCGUAAUCAUUUCCAUCAUUCUUAUCGUCGGAUUGUACAUUAAUGAUCCAAAUCGUAGCACAACUGCAAAUGCUACCACAACUGAGCAAAGCUGGUAAAACGUGGUGAAAGAAGAGUGACCGGAAGUAAAGUGGCUGGAUCUGUUCAAUAUUUUUGGAUUAUAAAUAAAUAAUGAACCAUUGAUUGAAUUUGCACAAAGCAUAUUCUCAAUAUAAGUCAAAAUUAAGCGCGUUACAAAGGAAUCGUCAGUUUUAUUAGUUCAAAAACCUAAGCGUGUUAGCCUCUUUAACGCAAGUUAAACGAAUAUUGAGUUGUAA